ACUGUCAUGUAGCCUACCAUUUUCCCAUAUUGAUAUUUGUUACAGCUGCCACAGUACCCAAGAGAUGCUGGCUUAGUUACAAAAAUGUGGUGUCUUUGUUUUUGUUCUUGUUGCCUUUUAGAAGCCACUUCACAGUGAGAUUAAAUGAGAUUCCAGGAAAUAGGUCCUCCUUUCCCUCUGCAUGCAGGAAGAACAUUCUCCCAAAAGUUCCAAGCAGAGCCAGGAGUUGUGCAGAAAGAAGAUUGCUUUGCUCUUGGCCGAUGGAUUAGAGUAAAUGUAGAGAAAAUGGUACAUGCAGUCAUCAUCAUCAGCGACUGGAGAUGAACUAGAAGAAUGUAAUGGAGCAUGCAUCUGGCAUCAUGGCAUUCUUCUUAUGGGGUGCAGAGUGGCCUCCAGGCAAAGAGUCAGCAUAAUGGAUUUCUG
rnacentral:lncRNA from 1 species